CAUCCCCUGCAGUGUACGACAGCAGGCCAGUUAUUCCUUUGAGCCUAUGCUUACGCACUUCGGGAUCGUUGCACGGCGGCUGGUGUGUAUGUCCGCCACCGAGCGGAAAGCCUGAGGCCCCGUUUCGGUCCCUCUUGAACCUCUCGGUUCAAGGAUCACGGCCGGCAUCGGCACAGGUGGGGGAUGC
rnacentral:other from 1 species